GUACUCACUUCAGCAGCACAUAUACUAAAAUUGGAAUGAUAGAAGACUAGCAUGACCCCUGCACAAGGAUGAAAUUAGGGAGCUUGCAAUCUACAGCUUUGUU